UCCACCUGAAUGGUUCAACAAACAGAUUCAAAGUUCAGUGAACGCAUUCUAGCAAAUUCAUAAACUAGUUUUCCAAAGCAUGAUAAGAACACAUUUUUGGUAAACCUGCAAAACGAUAAGAAAUCAGAUGAGAUUGAAAACUCUGUUUUGAAAGACUACGAGCCUGAUGUUGAAUCCAUUAAAGCUUCAGGCAUCAAAAGGCCCCAACAAACACCUACCAAUAACAAAGGGAAUCUUGUUUAUGGCCGGAGGAAGACAGAAUCAGAACACCAUAAAAACAACAAUUGUAUCAAACCAAAUGAUCAACGUAUAAAACCACAUGAACACGAUGAAAAGAAUCAUGAACAAAAAAAAUCCAAUCAACGAUUCUACAAUACCUACUCACAAAGAUACAAAUGUUAUUUCACCUUCGGUUAUUAAUGAUUCAAAGGGAAUAUUAAGUAUUCAACAAUGGGAAGAGUGAUAUUUGAGAUUGCAGAACUUUUUAAAGGUUUUAGAUUUGUCAAAUCAAGAUGAUUAUUGCCAGAUGCUUCGCUCCCUCACAUCAGUUGGGCUUAGCAGAGUUGCAGUUGAACUAGAAAAAAGAUCAAUUCAGUUAUCUAUGGAGGAAGCAAGAGAAGUCCAACGUGCAAAACUUGUGGAUACAUUGCAUAAAUUUUCAACAACUACUGGAGAACACCCAUCAAACAAGUGAAGCAAUCGAUCCUGCAUACAGUUGUUAAUAAGUUGUUAAUAGUAACCAACUUUUUUUUUAAUCUUUAUUGUCAACUAACCUGUAAAAUAAUGAA